rnacentral:tRNA from 1 species
GGUGAUGUGCCAGAUCAAUUGGACUGCGUUGAUGAUGCAGCAUAUGGGAUAGAUUUCCCCAUCGCCU